UUUUCCACAAAACAUCAGAAAUGCCCUCAAUUUCCUGCAUCACAUUUAAGGAUGUGAAAGAUUUAGCCACGUUACUGUGAGUCUCCCUUCCAUCCCCACCGGAGCUGUCAGACGCCGGCACGAAUGUUUCUAUAUGUUCAUCAAUCAGACUGCGGCCUUGCUCCCCAGAGAACAGGGACAUGACAAAUUAGCUCGGCGCCUUUAAGGGGAAAUGGAGAAUUUGAAAAAUGACAUCCCCUCUUCCUAACUCACACUAUGGAGCGGCCCCUCCUCCGGUCCCUGCCUUCCAUCAAUCACACCUGCUCCGGUUCUCAGGCAGACCCACCUUGUUCCAUCGGAACGAUCAGACUCAAAUUGCUCAGGCUUUUCUAAGUCGUCCUGUCUUAUUCUCCAUGUCCCCAUUUGGGAGGAAUCACAGACGCAUAUGUCUACUCCUCCCAUUUUAUGAAAUGGAAACAGAUUUAGAGACGUGAUGAACGGACUUCUUGGAGAUCCCACAGGCAAUAUUGAGAUAGAACAUAUCCAUGGCAAGAUGCCAGAGCUACUGAACCAUUUUUAAAGCUUUUUCUUCCUGGCAGCAAAUCAUGGCAUGUUGGAGGAACUGGGGUCAGUUACUUGGAUCUGAUUUGUGGAACCUAGAUAGUGGAUAUAUGGUAUUUUGAGCAAAGGUCAGCAUGAGGCAGAUGGCAGCUUUCCCAGGACAAGAAGCCUAUGAGCACAAACAGAAAUGGACUUUGGAACCCAACCUCAUUCAAGCCACAAGUGUUUAUGCAACUUUACUCUGUUCCAGGCACCAGGCUGGGUGCCUGCACAACAAAACUAAAGUAGCCCCUGCCCUCACGGAGCUUCUUUUCUCCUGUCCUAACAGGACAGAGCUUGGACAAAGUGAGAAUGAACUUGUCUGUGGGAAAUAGCUUCAGAGAGGGAAUCUUGCCUCCUAGUUCUGUUACUAUCACUCAAUGAAAAUGCAUCCAAGUGUUUAUCAUUUGCCAAGGACCAUGGUAAGGGACAGGAAGAAAAAAAUUAAACUGUUGCUGCCCUCAAGGUGUUUAUAUUCUAUGGGAAGCCAUGAAAAUACACAAAAUCAAUGUUU